rnacentral:rRNA from 1 species
AUUGAACGCUGGCGGCAGGCCUAACACAUGCAAGUCGAACGAGUGGCGGACGGGUGAGUAAUGUCUGGGAAACUGCCUGAUGGAGGGGGAUCACUACUGGAAACGGUAGCUAAUACCGCAUACCAUCAGAUGUGCCCAGAUGGGAUUAGCUUGUUGGUGGGGUAACGGCUCACAAAGGCGACGAUCCCUAGCUGGUCUGAGAGGAUGACCGGCAACACGGGAACUGAGACACGGUCCAGGCGCCUACGGGAAGGAGGAGUGGGGAAUAAAGCAAAAUGGGAGCAAGCCUGAUGGAGCCAUGCCGCGAGUAUGAAGAAGGCCUUCGGGUUGUAAAGUACUUUCAGCGGGGAGACGUUACCCGCAGAAGAAGCACCGGCUAACUCCGUGCCAGCAGCCGCGGUAAUA